CACGCACACACGCGCGGCAUAUCAAUAAGCGGAGGAAAAGAAACUAACAAGGAUUCCCCUAGUAACGGCGAGUGAAGCGGGAAGAGCUCAAAUUUGAAAUCUUAAAGGGUUUCCCUUUACGAAUUGUAGUUUAAAGAAGUGUUUUCUGUUAGAGAGUUUGGUAAAAGUUCUUUGGAAUAGGACAUCAUAGAGGGUGAGAAUCCCGUAUUUGAUCACUUUCUACUAACUUUGCUGAUACACUUUCAAAGAGUCGGAUUGUUUGGGAAUGCAGUCCAAAAUGGGUGGUAAAUUUCAUCUAAAGCUAAAUAUUGGCGAGAGACCGAUAGCGAACAAGUACCGUGAGGGAAAGAUGAAAAGAACUUUGAAAAGAGAGUUAAACAGUACGUGAAAUUGUCAAAAGGGAAGCGUUUGACACCAGUGUUGUUUUCUCGAAAAUCAAUUAAAAAUGGUGGGAUUUUGUGUUGUUAUUGACCUUUAAUCAGCUUUCUUCACUCUUUUUCCUAUCUUUUUUAAUGCACUUUUCGUUUAACAAGUCAACAUCAGUUUCUUUUGUUGUAAAAGAGUCAUUGGAAGGUGGCUUUCUUUUCGGAGAAAGUGUUUAUAGCCUUUGCUCUCUGCAAGUCGGAGAGACUUGAGGUCUGCAGCGUAGACUCCUUCGGGGUUAGAUACAUUUGUGCUAAGUUAUAGCUCUUUAUAGACAACUUGUUGACUAUAUUUAGUCUUGUAGGCUUACUCGCUUAUGCUAUUUUACCUACGCUUAGGAUGUUGAUCUCUCACAGUCGAGC
rnacentral:rRNA from 1 species